UGCUUUUUUAACAGUGCAGGGUGAAGGAAAGUGUGAUGAAGGUGAAUUGUGUAACUUAGCUGGAAUCCUGGCUGAAGAACGGCAUGAUGCAGCACAAACAAGACAAAUAGUCUUUCUGCGCAGUGGCCCCUCUGUGCCUCUGACAGGAUUUACCACUAAAGGAAUAUUGAGGAGCAUCAGCCACAGCCAUGGUUCCCAGGGAGCUGUUUAUACAGGUACACAAGACUUAGGACCAAGAAAAAGAAGGACAAAGAAACAAAGGGAUUUGUUUGAAGGCAAGCUGCAAGCCUUAUCUUCCUCACUCCUGCUUCAGUACUCUAUUAACAAGUAGGUUUUAUUCCCUCCUCCCCCUACAAAAACACUCUGGAUUUUGUAAAGAAUGAGAUAUGAAUGCACAUAUCUCACUUAUAAAUUUACUAAUAUAGAUUACAUUUCUGAAACAAUUUUGCCCUCUAUUCAGCAUUUGGGGGGAAACAGAGGUACAUUCAUUCUGUGAGAACCUCUUGAAAGGUCCAUUCACAGCCAUUCAUGGGAAGUGCUGGGCAUGUGUGAGAGAAAAAGCACUUUAAUUGAAUGCAUGAGGAUCUAACUGACUGCCAGAUUGUGACUGGCCUCUGUGCAGGCCCAAAGUUGCACAUGUCCUGCUGGGAGCAAGAAACUGCUGUAGAGACAAGCCAUCCUCUUACUCUGAGCUGCCUAGCACACCAGGCACUGUGGAAUGAGGACAAUCUGUCAAGCUGGCCAUGGGAACUUAAAACAAGGCUUCUUGCAAUAAAGAUGAUUCAUUUGGCUGAAGGACCUCCUAAAUAUGGCUUCUGUCUGUGUACAGAGCUGUGAGUUGUAGGUACUUUGACUAGAGCUGAAUGCUUUCAGGUUGGUGUAGGAAAUGCCAGGUGUUAAAUUUGGUCUGGGGUACAAAACUACUGUCAUGUGGACUCCAGUUUCACUCUACCUUUGCUUACUUGUUGUAUAAUAUGUUUCAUUUUCUGUCCUUCCAUUAUUAAAAGCUGAUGUACUUAUGUUUUCCUUGAAAAAUACCCUGAUGGAUACUGACUAAUAAUACAGUGCAUCCAUAAAGAAGAUGAAGAGGCUGGGCAAAGGCAGCAGGGUCUUUGGGGAUGCACUUAACGCUGUUCAUUAAAAAUAUGUGAAUCUGCU